rnacentral:rRNA from 1 species
UACGUAGGGCGCAAGCGUUGUCCGGAAUUAUUGGGCGUAAAGAGCUCGUAGGCGGCUUGUCACGUCGGUUGUGAAAGCCCGGGGCUUAACCCCGGGUCUGCAGUCGAUACAGGCAGGCUAGAGUGUGGUAGGGGAGAUCGGAAUUCCUGGUGUAGCGGUGAAAUGCGCAGAUAUCAGGAGGAACACCGGUGGCGAAGGCGGGUCUCUGGGCCGAUACUGACGCUGAGGAGCGAAAGCGUGGGGAGCGAACAGG